GGUUAAGCGACUAAGCGUACACGGUGGAUGCCCUGGCAGUCAGAGGCGAUGAAGGGCGUGCUAAUCUGCGAUAAGCGCCGGUAAGGUGAUAUGAACCGUUAUAACCGGCGAUACCCGAAUGGGGAAACCCAGUGUGAUUCGUCACACUAUCAUUAACUGAAUCCAUAGGUUAAUGAGGCGAACCGGGGGAACUGAAACAUCUAAGUACCCCGAGGAAAAGAAAUCAACCGAGAUUCCCCCAGUAGCGGCGAGCGAACGGGGAGGAGCCCAGAGCCUGAAUCAGCAUGUGUGUUAGUGGAAGCGUCUGGAAAGGCGCGCGAUACAGGGUGACAGCCCCGUACACAAAAGCGCAUGUGCUGUGAGCUCGAUGAGUAGGGCGGGACACGUGGUAUCCUGUCUGAAUAUGGGGGGACCAUCCUCCAAGGCUAAAUACUCCUGACUGACCGAUAGUGAACCAGUACCGUGAGGGAAAGGCGAAAAGAACCCCGGCGAGGGGAGUGAAAAAGAACCUGAAACCGUGUACGUACAAGCAGUGGGAGCACAGGUUUACCUGUGUGACUGCGUACCUUUUGUAUAAUGGGUCAGCGACUUAUAUUCUGUAGCAAGGUUAACCGAAUAGGGGAGCCGGAGGGAAACCGAGUCUUAACCGGGCGUUAAGUUGCAGGGUAUAGACCCGAAACCCGGUGAUCUAGCCAUGGGCAGGUUGAAGGUUGGGUAACACUAACUGGAGGACCGAACCGACUAAUGUUGAAAAAUUAGCGGAUGACCUGUGGCUGGGGGUGAAAGGCCAAUCAAACCGGGAGAUAGCUGGUUCUCCCCGAAAGCUAUUUAGGUAGCGCCUCGUGAAUUCAUCUCCGGGGGUAGAGCACUGUUUCGGCUAGGGGGCCAUCCCGGCUUACCAACCCGAUGCAAACUGCGAAUACCGGAGAAUGUUAUCACGGGAGACACACGGCGGGUGCUAACGUCCGUCGUGAAGAGGGAAACAACCCAGACCGCCAGCUAAGGUCCCAAAGUCAUGGUUAAGUGGGAAACGAUGUGGGAAGGCCCAGACAGCCAGGAUGUUGGCUUAGAAGCAGCCAUCAUUUAAAGAAAGCGUAAUAGCUCACUGGUCGAGUCGGCCUGCGCGGAAGAUGUAACGGGGCUAAACCAUGCACCGAAGCUGCGGCAGCGAACGUAUCACUUAAAGCGAUUCAGCGGGUUACGAUUGACGGAGCGAAGCGACGUCAAAGCGUAUACAAAGUCGAGUCGGUUUAAGGAUACGUUCGUUGGGUAGGGGAGCGUUCUGUAAGCCUGCGAAGGUGGCCUGUGAGGGUUGCUGGAGGUAUCAGAAGUGCGAAUGCUGACAUAAGUAACGAUAAAGCGGGUGAAAAGCCCGCUCGCCGGAAGACCAAGGGUUCCUGUCCAACGUUAAUCGGGGCAGGGUGAGUCGACCCCUAAGGCGAGGCCGAAAGGCGUAGUCGAUGGGAAACGGGUUAAUAUUCCCGUACUUGGUGUUACUGCGAAGGGGGGACGGAGAAGGCUAUGUUGGCCGGGCGACGGUUGUCCCGGUUUAAGCGUGUAGGUGUGUGUUCCAGGUAAAUCCGGUUCACUUUAACACUGAGGCGUGAUGACGAGGCACUACGGUGCUGAAGUAACAAAUGCCCUGCUUCCAGGAAAAGCCUCUAAGCAUCAGGUAACAUCAAAUCGUACCCCAAACCGACACAGGUGGUCAGGUAGAGAAUACCAAGGCGCUUGAGAGAACUCGGGUGAAGGAACUAGGCAAAAUGGUGCCGUAACUUCGGGAGAAGGCACGCUGACACGUAGGUGAAGUGAUUUACUCACGGAGCUGAAGUCAGUCGAAGAUACCAGCUGGCUGCAACUGUUUAUUAAAAACACAGCACUGUGCAAACACGAAAGUGGACGUAUACGGUGUGACGCCUGCCCGGUGCCGGAAGGUUAAUUGAUGGGGUCAGCGCAAGCGAAGCUCCUGAUCGAAGCCCCGGUAAACGGCGGCCGUAACUAUAACGGUCCUAAGGUAGCGAAAUUCCUUGUCGGGUAAGUUCCGACCUGCACGAAUGGCGUAAUGAUGGCCAGGCUGUCUCCACCCGAGACUCAGUGAAAUUGAACUCGCUGUGAAGAUGCAGUGUACCCGCGGCAAGACGGAAAGACCCCGUGAACCUUUACUAUAGCUUGACACUGAACAUUGAGCCUUGAUGUGUAGGAUAGGUGGGAGGCUUUGAAGUGUGGACGCCAGUCUGCAUGGAGCCGACCUUGAAAUACCACCCUUUAAUGUUUGAUGUUCUAACGUGGACCCGUUACCCGGGUUGCGGACAGUGUCUGGUGGGUAGUUUGACUGGGGCGGUCUCCUCCUAAAGAGUAACGGAGGAGCACGAAGGUUGGCUAAUCCUGGUCGGACAUCAGGAGGUUAGUGCAAUGGCAUAAGCCAGCUUGACUGCGAGCGUGACGGCGCGAGCAGGUGCGAAAGCAGGUCAUAGUGAUCCGGUGGUUCUGAAUGGAAGGGCCAUCGCUCAACGGAUAAAAGGUACUCCGGGGAUAACAGGCUGAUACCGCCCAAGAGUUCAUAUCGACGGCGGUGUUUGGCACCUCGAUGUCGGCUCAUCACAUCCUGGGGCUGAAGCAGGUCCCAAGGGUAUGGCUGUUCGCCAUUUAAAGUGGUACGCGAGCUGGGUUUAGAACGUCGUGAGACAGUUCGGUCCCUAUCUGCCGUGGGCGCUGGAGAACUGAGGGGGGCUGCUCCUAGUACGAGAGGACCGGAGUGGACGCAUCACUGGUGUUCGGGUUGUCAUGCCAAUGGCACUGCCCGGUAGCUAAAUGCGGAAGAGAUAAGUGCUGAAAGCAUCUAAGCACGAAACUUGCCCCGAGAUGAGUUCUCCCUGAGACUUAGAGUCUCCUGAAGGAACGUUGAAGACGACGACGUUGAUAGGCCGGGUGUGUAAGCGCAGCGAUGCGUUGAGCUAACCGGUACUAAUGAACCGUGAGGCUUAACCUUAC
rnacentral:rRNA from 2 species